CCUGCAAAAAAUUCAAGGAUUAAUACACAAAAAAAAAAGUGACAGAAUUUAGAAACUGUGGCAUAUUACAGGCGAAUAACAUGAUUAUUGGAGUCGCAGGUGAUAUGAAACCAGGUACAAGGAUUAACAAGAGUAGGAUCCCAGCUCUGUAGAACAUUUGCUGGGUCAGAGAGUCUGCUUCUCAAAGCAUGUAGAGCAUUUCCUGAAAGAUGAACACAACAAAAAAUUUUAGGAAGAUGGGUCCAUUUCAAGAUUUAGUCCCAGCUCUGUAGAACAUUUGUUGGGUCAGAGAGUCUACUUCUCAAAGCAUGUAGAGCAUUUCCUGAAAGAUGAACAGACAAAAAUGAGAUAAGGUCCAUUUCAAGAUUUAAACUUUUUUCUUUAUGUUAUGUAGGUAGGUCCAUUUCCAUGGUUUUAACUGUAACCCCUUGAAAGACUAAUGGAUGAAAAGAAGAUAAAACCAAAUAGGAGUUCAUAUGGUAGCAUAAAGCUAAAAGCUUUAAACCCUAGGAAUGACAAAAGGAAUACAUGGG
rnacentral:lncRNA from 1 species